AGAUUGAACGCUGGCGGAAUGCUUUACACAUGCAAGUCGAACGGCAGCACGGGGGGUAACCCUGGUGGCGAGUGGCGAACGGGUGAGUAAUACAUCGGAACGUGCCCAGUCGUGGGGGAUAACGUAGCGAAAGCUACGCUAAUACCGCAUACGAACUCUGGUUGAAAGCGGGGGACUCGCAAGAGCCUCGCGCGAUUGGAGCGGCCGAUGGCAGAUUAGGUAGUUGGUGGGGUAAAGGCUCACCAAGCCUGCGAUCUGUAGCUGGUCUGAGAGGACGACCAGCCACACUGGGACUGAGACACGGCCCAGACUCUACGGGAGGCGCAGUGGGAAUUUUUGGACAAUGGGCGCAAGCCUGAUCCAGCCAUUCCGCGUGCAGGAUGAAGGCCCUCGGUUGUAAACUGCUUUUUGGACGGAACGAAAGCCGCUCUACUAAUACAGGGCGUACGA
rnacentral:rRNA from 1 species